CCUACGGGUGGCAGCAGUGGGGAAUAUUGGACAAUGGGGGGAACCCUGAUCCAGCGACGCCGCGUGAGUGAUGAAGUAUUUCGGUAUGUAAAGCUCUAUCAGCAGGGAAGAAAAUGACGGUACCUGAAUAAUAAGCCCCUGCUAACUACGUGCCAGCAGCCGCGGUAAUACGUAGGGGGCAAGCGUUAUCCGGAUUUACUGGGUGUAAAGGUAGCGUAGACGGGUCAGCAAGUCUGAUGUGAAAGUUCGGGGCCUAACCCCGGGACUGCAAUGGAAACUGGUGAACUGGAGUACAGGAGAGGUAAGCGGAAUUCCUAGUGUAGCGGUGAAAUGCGUAGAUAUAAGGAGGAACACCAGUGGCGAAGGCGGCUUACUGGACUGUAACUGACGUUGAGGCUCGAAAGCGUGGGGAGCAAACAGGAUUAGAUACCCUGGUAGUC
rnacentral:rRNA from 1 species